rnacentral:lncRNA from 1 species
ACAAAAUGGUGGGCACUGGUUUAUCUUGGCAUGGAGGGACCUAUAGAUUCCUCCUGGAAUGGGUUUAAGACCCAUGUGGAAGCUAAUCUAGCCAUCUACCAGCCUAGCAUAUAUUUUAAAGUAUGUGAUGGCAUGAUAUGGCAUGGAAGAAGGGAGAAGCCAAGGUGCGCACGCGUAGAUGUCCCCAAGAGACACCUAAGAUUCCUUCUGCUUUAAGGU